AUAAACGCUGGCGGCGCACAUAAGACAUGCAAGUUGAACGGACUUAAUCGAAAUAUUUAUAUUUUGAAGCGGUUAGUGGCGGACUGGUGAGUAACGCGUAAGGAACCUGCCUAUUAGAGGGGAAUAACAGUGAGAAAUCAUUGCUAAUACCGCAUAUGCCAUAGAUAUCACAUGAUAACAGUGGGAAAGGAGCAAUCCGCUAAUAGAUGGCCUUGCGUCUGAUUAGAUAGUUGGUGGGGUAACGGCCUACCAAGUCGACGAUCAGUAGCCGGACUGAGAGGUUGAACGGCCAAAUUGGAACGGAAUUCCGGCCCAGCCCCCUAAGGGGGGGAGCGGUCGGGAAUAUUGCGCAAGGGAGGAACCUCUGACAGAGUGGCCCCGCGUAUAGGAAGAAGGUUUUCGGUUUUUAAAAUUUUUGCGUGAGGGAAAAAAAAGGACAGUACCUAAGGAGGAAGCCGCGGCUAACUACGU
rnacentral:rRNA from 1 species